UUGGACCUGAUAUCAGGUAGGAUUACCCGCGAACUAA
rnacentral:rRNA from 1 species